CAAAGGCAUGGUCCCGACCUUAUUAUCAGCUCUAACUCAACUUACACAUGCAAGUCUCCGCAACCCAGUGAAUAUGCCCUCAAUCCCCCCACCCGGGGACGAGGAGCGGGCAUCAGGCACAAACAUUAGCCCAAGACGCCUAGCCAAGCCACACCCCCAAGGGAAUUCAGCAGUGAUAAACAUUAAGCCAUAAGUGAAAACUUGACUCAGUUAGUGUUAAGAGGGCCGGUAAAACUCGUGCCAGCCACCGCGGUUAGACGAGAGGCCCUAGUUGAUAUUACAACGGCGUAAAGGGUGGUUAAGGAUAAACAAAAAUAAAGUCAAAUGGCCCCUUGGCCGUCAUACGCUUCUAGGAGUCCGAAGCCCUAAUACGAAAGUAACUUUAAUAAACCCACCUGACCCCACGAAAGCUGAGAAACAAACUGGGAUUAGAUACCCCACUAUGCUCAGCCGUAAACUCAGACAUCCAGCUACAAUUAGAUGUCCGCCAGGGUACUACGAGCAUUAGCUUAAAACCCAAAGGACCUGACGGUGUCUCAGACCCCCCUAGAGGAGCCUGUUCUAGAACCGAUAACCCCCGUUCAACCUCACCACUUCUAGCCACCCCAGCCUAUAUACCGCCGUCGUCAGCUUACCCUGUGAAGGUAAUAAAAGUAAGCAAAAUGGGCACAACCCAAAACGUCAGGUCGAGGUGUAGCGCAUGAAGUGGGAAGAAAUGGGCUACAUUUUCUAAUAUAGAAUAUUACGAACAUGCACCAUGAAACAAUGCUUGAAGGAGGAUUUAGUAGUAAAAGGGAAAUAGAGUGUCCCUUUGAACCCGGCUCUGAGACGCGUACACACCGCCCGUCACUCUCCCCUGUCAAAACGCACCAAAAAUACAUAAUACAACAGCACUGACAAGGGGAGGCAAGUCGUAACACGGUAAGUGUACCGGAAGGUGCACUUGGAUCAAACC
rnacentral:ncRNA from 10 species